GAUGAACGCUGGCGGCGUGCCUAAUACAUGCAAGUCGAGCGAACAGACGAGGAGCUUGCUCCUCUGACGUUAGCGGCGGACGGGUGAGUAACACGUGGAUAACCUACCUAUAAGACUGGGAUAACUUCGGGAAACCGGAGCUAAUACCGGAUAAUAUAUUGAACCGCAUGGUUCAAUAGUGAAAGACGGUUUUGCUGUCACUUAUAGAUGGAUCCGCGCCGCAUUAGCUAGUUGGUAAGGUAACGGCUUACCAAGGCAACGAUGCGUAGCCGACCUGAGAGGGUGAUCGGCCACACUGGAACUGAGACACGGUCCAGACUCCUACGGGAGGCAGCAGUAGGGAAUCUUCCGCAAUGGGCGAAAGCCUGACGGAGCAACGCCGCGUGAGUGAUGAAGGUCUUCGGAUCGUAAAACUCUGUUAUUAGGGAAGAACAAAUGUGUAAGUAGCUAUGCACGUCUUGACGGUACCUAAUCAGAAAGCCACGGCUAACCACGUG
rnacentral:rRNA from 1 species